rnacentral:rRNA from 1 species
AUUGAACGCUGGCGGCAUGCCUUACACAUGCAAGUCGAACGGCAGCACGGGUGCUUGCACCUGGUGGCGAGUGGCGAACGGGUGAGUAAUACAUCGGAACAUGUCCUGUAGUGGGGGAUAGCCCGGCGAAAGCCGGAUUAAUACCGCAUACGAUCUACGGAUGAAAGCGGGGGACCUUCGGGCCUCGCGCUAUCGGGUUGGCCGAUGGCUGAUUAGCUAGUUGGUGGGGUAAAGGCCUACCAAGGCGACGAUCAGUAGCUGGUCUGAGAGGACGACCAGCCACACUGGGACUGAGACACGGCCCAGACUCCUACGGGAGGCAGCAGUGGGGAAUUUUGGACAAUGGGCGAAAGCCUGAUCCAGCAAUGCCGCGUGUGUGAAGAAGGCCUUCGGGUUGUAAAGCACUUUUGUCCGGAAAGAAAUCCCUGGCCCUAAUACGGUCGGGGGAUGGCGGUACCGGAAGAAUAAGCACCGGCUAACUACGUG